rnacentral:rRNA from 1 species
ACACGACUACAUUAGAUACCCGUGUAGUCCUAGCCGUAAACGAUACUCGCUAGGUGUCAGCCACGGUGCGACCGUUGUCGGUGCCGUAGGGAAGCCGUGAAGCGAGCCACCUGGGAAGUACGGCCGCAAGGCUGAAACUUAAAGGAAUUGGCGGGGGAGCACAACAACGGGUGGAGCUUGCGGUUUAAUUGGAUUCAACGCCGGAAAUCUUACCGGGACCGACAGCAACAUGAAGGCCAAGCUGAAGACUUUGCCGGAUUAGCUG